UGGGGUGUCGACAAGUGGUAUGUCACCGGACUUUGGUUCCGGCUUCGGAGGUUCGAAUCCUCCCACCCCAGCCA
rnacentral:tRNA from 1 species